UACGAAGGGGGCUAGCGUUGCUCGGAAUGACUGGGCGUAAAGGGCGCGUAGGCGGUUCAUACAGUCAGAUGUGAAAUUCCUGGGCUCAACCUGGGGGCUGCAUUUGAUACGUGUGGACUAGAGUGGGGAAGAGGGUCGUGGAAUUCCCAGUGUAGAGGUGAAAUUCGUAGAUAUUGGGAAGAACACCGGUGGCGAAGGCGGUUCUCUGGGCCUUACCUGACGCUGAGGAGCGAAAGCGUGGGGAGCGAACAGG
rnacentral:rRNA from 1 species